GUCCGCGCCUCUCUUCAGUAGCAGUCUGAGCACCGCAUCAUUCCUCAGCCCACAGGCGAGGUGGAGGGGGCUCCUACGCUUCCUGCCAUGUUGGAAAUUCAGCUCCGUGUCCGGAUGCUUCCGAAGUGAUGGGACACUUGAAGCCGAUGCUUCGUGGCAUGUAUCGAAUAUGAAGGGCAGCUGCACGUGAAGCCUCGCGGUCUCCGAGAAUCACGUGAUCGGCGGGAGGUCGGCAAACUAAGACAGACAGACAGACGAAUCUUUCUCCUAGCCCCAGUCUCACUUCCUGAGCCCCCCUGUCAAUCUCAAAGGUUUUGACUGGCUGCUCUGUGCUGGGUGGCUUUUCAUCGGCCACCUGUCAGGAAGCCUGGGGCCUCGAAACAGUGGAUCAUGUGGCCCAGGAGUGUGGGAGCACAUGCAGAUGGGGUGGGGGGGGCAGCACCCUGCGCCCCCUGAAAACACUUCAUGUGCUGUUUGUACCUCAGAAAAGCUAUUAUUGUUGCAUUUCUUGGAUACAUAGCAAAUUUCAAGUAAAAAAAAAGUCAAAUGUCUUUAUUGUCAAUUGUAUCAUAUGUACAGGGGGACUGAAAUGAUGUUGCUCUCAGACCCCACGGUGAGUGAAGUAACAACGACAAGAAAGACAGAUACAAGUUUCAAAAAUAAAAUUAAACACUUUGUGGAAAAGACAAUAGGACAAUACAAUCAAACAAUACAUCAUAUAAUAACGUUGCUUUGAAUACAAGCAUUAGCCAAGUAUAAACUUCACAGUAAUGCCAAUGAAAAUGGAUAAAGAAAAGGACAGGAUUUCCCUAACGAUUCAGGCAGCCCCCCACCCCAGUGCGGCCUUGCUCUGCCCCUCCUGUUUGGAUUGUCCUGGCCUUGGACUGAUUCCUCAUCCUGUCUUCAAUACCAAGACACUCCAACACUCACUUCCUUCUUGGUUAUUUUUAUUGGUCUCUUUUGUUCAAGUCAGUGGGCUUGACUGUCAUACCAUCCAAAUACAGGUAUACAAUGGCCAUGAAUAACAUUCUUACAGGACCAGGGGAGUGGUAGGCAGGGGCAUGGAUACCCUGACAGAUUCAGGGGGCCUGGCUGUUGUCAGGGGCCCUUAAAUAUAUAAAAUUAUACAUAAAAUAUGUGGGCUUUUUGUCAGGGGAUCCAGAAAAUCUAGAUACUCCCCUGCCCAGGAGAAGGGGGUGACAUACAAAUAGUGAGUGAUGGGGGGGCAUCCAGAACAUUCCCAGUGCAGGCCAGAGGCAUUGUGGGAUAUGGUCUUUAGAAAAAGGCAGAUCGGUCAUGUCACUCUUGGGGCUGAUUAGGCUGACAGAGUAACAUGGAACCCUGCCUUUCGGGGGUGGGGGGUGUCCUUCAGCAGCGCCAAGCUCACCUUGAAAUGACAGUUAGACAUGGCACUCAGUUUUGACGAUUCUCUGGAUCAUUUAAUGAUAUCAUGGACUGUAGAUGAUGAAAUUCCCAAAUUUAUUUAUUUAUUUUUAAAUUGUUGUGCUAUCUGCCCAUGCAGUCUUUCACAGAGUGGUGAACCUCUCCCCAUCUUCACUGCACAGAGUGGUGAACCUCUCCCCAUCUUCACUGCACAGAGUGGUGAACCUCUCCCCAUCUUCACUGCACAGAGUGGUGAACAUCUCCCCAUCUUCACUGCACAGAGUGGUGAACCUCUCCCCAUCUUCACUGCACAGAGUGGUGAACAUCUCCCCAUCUUCACUGCACAGAGUGAUGAACCUCUCCCCAUCUUCACUGCACAGAGUGGUGAACCUCUCCACAUCUUCACUGCACAGAGUGGUGAACCUCUCCCCAUCUUCACUGCACAAACUCUGCCUCACUGGGUGGCUCUUUCCAUACCCAGUUGUCUUACUGAUCUGUUGCUGAUUAACCUAAUUAGUUGUGAGAUAUUCAACCAGGUGUUUUACUUUUGAUGCUUAUUGUCCCAACUUUUUGGAAAUGUGUUGCUGGCAAAAAUUCAAACUGAGCAUAUAUUUGUCAUAAAACAAUUUCUCGGUUUCAACCUUUGAUAUGUUGUUUUUGUUCUAUUUUCAAUGAAAUAUUGGUUAUGUGGUUUGUAAAUCGUGGCAAAUUCUGUUUUAUAUUUACAUUUUUAUACUGUUUUAUAUUUACAAGUGCCCCAUUUUUUUGGAAAUGUGGUUGUAAAAGAAUCUGUGACUGCAAACGAAAACUAAAAAUGUCAAAAGUCUUG